GGUGUCUUGGGUCACCUCCUAUUACACUUUGCUCCCUCCCCGCGAGACUCCUCUCUGGGUGGGCCCUGUCCACUUUCCCCCCUGAGAGAACCCUCACUUGCAACCCCUCUAUUGAAUGCCCACCUUCUGCCCAGUUUGACCAAGAGCUCCCGGAUGACUUCCUCUCCUUCCCACCCGUCCCGCUCACGACCAGCCCUCCAUAGAACUCAGCCUCGGGGGUCAGCACACCUAAGGGGCUCCUGCUUCUUUUUCAUUGCUUCUUCCUCACCUCUGAAUCUGACCGUAAUGGCUCUCUAGAAGUUACUAGUUACUUCAUAAAGGAUUUCUCAGAAGCAGAAUCCUGAGGUACGGAAUUCCUUGCCUCAGAAAGGUAAGAAAGAACUAAUAGACGCCAUUCAAGUCUGUAGACAACAGGCAUUUGUAAAUCGGGGGCAGCCUGUCUACAUGUUUCUGUUCAGUCGGUCUUCUAUCUACUUGCUCUGUGGAGAUUCCUUCAUCAGGUCCAUGAAUCUGCUGUUUUGGAUGCUGCAUAAGGUGAAUGUUCACCCACAGUGGUUUUCACCACAAGGGUCAAAUACCCUGUUGCCAGCACUGGUCAUUCCUCCUUGCCUUCUCUUCCUUUCCCUGUGAGACACAACUGAGGGGUUGAGGGACUUCACUCAUUGCUUCAAAGCCUGUAGGCAGCUGGCAAACACCUGGGACUGAAGCAGCACACUAACUGGCCUUGUCCUGCCCUGCCCUGGGAAUCCAGCUCCCCAUGGUCACCUCCACCAAGAAAAUCUAUUGUCCUAGACUCAUGUCGUGAGCCAACCAUGAACACUUCCUUCUUGGCACUGGCCUGCCUCGCAGCAGACAUCAAAACGACGCUGACAUUUUACCACAUGGUCAGGUACUUUUUUGAGAACGUGAAGGCCGUUCUGAAAGAGAUAUGAAGCGAUCUCUAGGGCUUUCCAGUAAUAUUCUUUCCUCCCAGAGACAGUCAAUGUGAGAAAUCCACUUCCGGAAGGUGAUCACCUCCCUCCCACGCCCCCGCGCCCCCCAGGCCGUGCUCUUGAGGAAAAGGCAGCAUCACGUCCUCCCCGCCAAACGGAGGCCCCCCUGAUUUCCACUGCUCUCAGCAGGCUUGACUCACAACGAAACUGCAACCUCAAGAACACCCGGGGCCAGGAUUGCGAGAAGGAAAUACAGGUGAACACACGCAAAAGCUGCCUGAGGAAAAGGUCUUGUUUCUCUUACAGAAUGGUCCUUCCAGGGCUGGGCGGAAGCCGUGAACUGGAAGGGCUGAAGGGGCUGGGAGUCAUGCUGACUUAGUGGAUUCGGCAGGGAGGGAAAGUAUGCAUCAGAACCACACAUGCCAAGCAACUCCUGCCUAGGAGGGUAGACGGGGCAGGGUGAGGAGGGGAGAGAGGGGAAUCACAAAACCCUAGGAUAUCAGAUUUGGAAAGUACCUUAGAAAAACAGCCCUGUCGAGCCUGCCUCUUACAGUUGCAGAAGGGAAGGCCAAGGGUUGGAAAGCAAUGUGCCAGGGGUCUCACAGUGGAAGGUCCAGGCUGGCAGCUGUUCUCCUAGAUGCCUGAGCCAGAGUUUUCUCAACCAUGGGAUUGACUUCUUGGAACCCCUGUAACAUCCUCAGGAUAUUGGGGUUGAAAACCUGUCCUGCUCCGAGUCUUCAGGCCUAUAAAGAAACACAGCCGGCUCUGGCAGCUGAGCAUUCCCACAGCAAAGCACCGACGCCACAACUCAGAUGCCCGACUGCUGGUUAUGGGCUAGGCACUCAUCUAAGCACUUGUGUAUGAACAUUAUUUCAUCCCAUCCUUACAGCCACCCCACAGUGCCACUCAUCAUCUCCGGGUGUGGAUACUGCAGCACAAGAAAACUCAGUAGCUGGCCUAAGGUCACACGGAUGGUAAGGAGGGCAGCUCGGCUUGGAGCUUUAACUUGAACACACAAUGCCUGACCCAGUUCCUAAAGGGUGCCCGCCUCAUCAUCAUGAUUCCUCCAUCAACAGGAUGGGUGAGAGCCCAGUGACUGCGCAUGCCGCUCGGUUUUGCACGGGGCGAGAAGAGAAGGAGAAGCAAAUUGUGGGGAUUUGAUUGGUAACUUCUGGCCAGGUGGACUGGGAAAUGUCUGAUUUUAUUUUCAAGACUGUUCUGAAAACUGAGAAAGCACAAGACUAACCGAAAAGAAGGCAGAGUUUUUUAACUGCCCCUCAGAAUUGAAGGAGAGCGAGCGAGAGCCAGAGUGGGAGAGUGAGAAGGAGAGAGAAGAUUAACAGUGGAAGUGGGGAGUGGAACCCAGAUAAGCCUGCAGAAGAGUCCUCCCAAUAGCCCUGUGCCCCUGGCCACAGCCAGCCCCUGCAGCCAGGUCCGUUGGAGAAGGGGAGUUACAGUAAUAGGCAGGGCGCUGCAGAUCAGCACCAAAACUCCCGGGGGUUCUGACAUGAAACCACAAACACUGCCUGUGAGGCCCUUCAGCCUCCAUGACAUACGUGAUGCUCACAGGACUGCACUAAGGGACCAAACUGGCUAUUUGGAAACUCUGAAUAAAGAAGACACCAGUGGAGUGGUGGGCUUCCCCCUUCUCCCUCCAGGCCAGGUGCCCUGUGGGUGUGUACCCCUCCCUUCCUCUGAGGCCAGGUUUUUGUUAAACCUUUAAGCCAGGGAUUCUCACAGGGUGGUCCAAGGACCCCCGGGAGGUCCUCCCUUUUACAACUCUAUAUCUACGUGAGGCUGGAUUUUCUUCAUAUGCUUCAACUCAGACAACAUAUCACAACAGACUGAAGAUUCUAAAAAUUUUGAGGAGAGAAAGGACAAUGUCUUCAGAUCAAUGGAGAAAGGAUCAACUACUGUUUUCAACAAAUGGCCUGAGAUAACUGGCUACACAUUCCAGAACAAAUAAAGAAGUCAGAGCCUAACCCUAACACUGCAUAGUGGAUUAUGGAUUAAAGAAAGUUAGAAAUGGC
ensembl:lncRNA